AGCUUUAUAGUCAAUAAUGAUAUUAGAUUGCAAAUCUAAAGGAGUAAUAAAUUACUAAGGCUU
rnacentral:tRNA from 1 species